UACGUAGGGCGCAAGCGUUGUCCGGAAUUAUUGGGCGUAAAGAGCUCGUAGGCGGUUUGUCGCGUCUGCCGUGAAAGCCAGGGGCUUAACCCUUGGUCUGCGGUGGAUACGGGCAGGCUGGAGGCAGGUAGGGGAGAACGGAAUUCCCGGUGUAGCGGUGAAAUGCGCAGAUAUCGGGAGGAACACCGGUGGCGAAGGCGGGUUCUC
rnacentral:rRNA from 1 species